CUCACAAACCAUGAGAUCAUGACUUGAGCUUCAGCUCACUCAACUGACUGAGCCACCCAGGCACCCCCAGAUUUCCCUUUUAAGUUUUUGUCAAGUGAUAUUUAUUUCUGUUUUAGGUAGCUGUGAUGUUAAACAAUUACCACUAACUGUUUUGGACAAUGCCUUGGGGAUAGAGACCUCUUCACCUAGCAAACCCUAGUGCAGUGAACCUCUGGACAAAAUUGAAUCAGUUUCAAUCCAGGCAGGUUGGGCCUGGGGAUAUCUGCAGCAUCUACAAGAAGAGGAGAAGAAGCCUUCAAACAACUAUAACAGUGAGACUUGUACUAAAACAAUUUUGUAGACAAAAUUGAGGGAUUUCAAAGAUUAAUGGCAAAAUCAACAAAAGUAGAGAAAAAUUCAGCCUACAAGAGGUUCCAGAGAGUUCCCUAGCUUCUUCCAGCAUGUGAGGAUACAAUCGGAAGUCUGAGACAUGGAAGACGGUCCUCACCAACCCUGCUGGCACUCUGAGCUCAGACUUCCAUCCUCCAGAACUGUGAGAAAUAAAUUUCUGUUGUUUAUAAGCCACCCAAUCUGUGAUACUUUGUUAAAGCAGACACAUGUACUAUGACAAGGACAAUGCUGAAUGGUGUGUUUGUGUGUGCUUGAAAAGGGUUACAAAGAAGAGACUUAAAGAAGGACCCACUGUUUGGGGCCAAAUUCCUUUUAUCUUCAAAAAAACAACAAAAAAAGUAAAAAAACAAAAAAGUAUUUUUCUUGGUUCUUUUUCCAAAGUGUGGCUUUCAUGUGUACUUUUUAAUAGAAAGGAUUCUUUGGCAAUGAAAAAGCUAGUCUUAAUUGACUUCCCACUCUCCCCAGCAGCAAGUGACUUGCUGGUGACUAGGGCUGUAAAGGAACAGCUCCUCCUGGCAAGCACGGUCUUCCCUCCCCACCCCCCCCCCCCACUAAAAUGUCAUAUAUUCACAUAGUGCAAAAUUUUCAAAAAAUGUAAAAAGGCAUAUAGUGAAAACUUUUCCUCUUGUCCUGUCCACCGUUUACACAGCUCUCUUUUGCACACACACACACAGCCAUAAUUAAUUCUUAUAUAUUCUUGACAGAUUAUUCUUAACAGAUUUCUUUAUGAUUUGACCAGAAAAUAUCAAUAUAUAGUUGUAUUCUUCCUCUUUUUAUAAAAAAUAGCACAUAAUAUACACUGGCUUAUAUCAUUUUUUUCACUUUUAAAUAUACAUCUUAAUGAUCAAUACCAGAGAGCUUCCUCAGUUUUUUAAACCACUGUGUAGUACUUCACUCUGUAAAUGUUCAAGAACUUUUUAACUAGUCUCCUAUUGAUGGGCAUGUGAGGUGUUUCCAGUUUUAUAUUUCAAGCAAUACUGACCUAGAUAACAUUACACAUAAUGUCAUUUCACAAAUGGGCAAGUAUAUCUGCAGGAUAAAUUCCUGAAAGUGUGAUGUAUGUGCAGUUUUAAUAAACCUUGAAAAUGUCUUUCCAUCA